rnacentral:rRNA from 1 species
GAGGUGUGGAUAGGGGAGAAAUUCCAAUCGAACCCGGAGAUAGCUGGUUCUCCUCGAAAUAGCUUUAGGGCUAGCCUUCAGUUAGUCUGCCGCAGGUAGAGCACUGAAUUUCCUAGGGGGCGUCAAAGCCUACCGAAGAAUAUCAAACUGCGAAUGGCGGACAGAUGAUGCUGGGGAGUCAGACUGCACGAGAUAAGUUGGGUGGUCAAAAGGGAAAGAGCCCAGACCUACAGCUAAGGUCCCAAAGUGCGUGUUAAGUGGAAAAGGAUGUGGGAUUUCGAAGACAACUAGGAUGUUGGCUCAGAAGCAGCCACACAUUAAAAGAGUGCGUAAUAGCUCACUAGUCGAGAGGUCCUGCGCCGAAAAUGUCCGGGGCUGAAACACGACACCGAAGCUUAGGAACAAAGAAACCAAGGUUUCUAUAUGUUGGUAGAGGAGCAUUGUUAGCGGAACGAAGCCAUACCGGAAGGAGUGGUGGACUGCUAAGAAGAGAGAAUGCCGGAAUGAGUAGCGAGAUUGAAGUGAGAAUCUUCAAGGCCGAAUAUCUAAGGUUUCCAGGGUAAAGCUGAUCUGCCCUGGGUAAGUCGGGACCUAAGGCGAGGUCGAAAGACGUAGCCGAUGGACAACAGGUUGAAAUUCCUGUACUGCGAUAUAUCAGAAAUGUGGGGACACAGAAGGAAAGUGUGAGCCGGGAAAGGAAAGACCGGUGCAAGCACAGGAGGAGAGAUACAGGCAAAUCCGUAUUUCAAUCCAAUGGUGUUACGCGGAGCGAACAAAAGUAGCGAAGCACACAGACCAUCUGUCGAGAAAAGCCGCUAUUGUGUAUACCGUACCCGUACCGUAAACCGACACAGGUGGAUGAGGAGAGAAUCCUAAGGCCGGCGGGAGAAGCAUUGUUAAGGAACUCGGCAAAAUGACCCCGUAACUUCGGGAUAAGGGGUGCCAGAGAGAUCUGGCCGCAGAGAAUAGGCUCAAGCAACUGUUUAGCAAAAACACAGGUCUAUGCGAAACCGUAAGGUGAUGUAUAUGGGCUGACGCCUGCCCGGUGCUGGAAGGUUAAGAGGAGAGGUUAGAGCAAUCGAAGCUUUGAAUUGAAGCCCCAGUAAACGGCGGCCGUAACUAUAACGGUCCUAAGGUAGCGAAAUUCCUUGUCGGGUAAGUUC